rfam:Brachypodium distachyon strain Bd21 chromosome 1, whole genome shotgun sequence.
AUGGUACUUCCUCCAUCCAACAAAGGAUGUCUCAACUUUGACUAAAUUUGAAUGCAUCUAUACACUAAGGCAUGUCUAAAUACAUCCAAAUUUUGACAAACUUGAGACAUCUUUUGUUGGACGGAGGGAGUACUUC